rnacentral:rRNA from 1 species
UACGAAGGGUGCAAGCGUUACUCGGAAUUACUGGGCGUAAAGCGUGCGUAGGCGGUUUGUUAAGUCUGAUGUGAAAGCCCUGGGCUCAACCUGGGAAUGGCAUUGGAUACUGGCAACCUAGAAUGUGGUAGAGGGUGGCGGAAUUCCCGGUGUAGCAGUGAAAUGCGUAGAUAUCGGGAGGAACACCAGUGGCGAAAGCGGCUUCCUGGUCCAGCACCGACGUUCAGGCACGAAAGCGUGGGGAGCAAACAGG